AACAGGCUUGGUGCUGUGACUACGUCCCUGAGGAGCCUGUUCCAGUGUGCAACAACCUCCUUGGUGAACAACCUUUUGCUGAUAUUCAGCCUGGACCUCCCCUGUCACAGCAUGACACCAUUCCCUCGGGUCUAUCGCUGGUCACCAGAGAGGAGAGAUCGGUGCCUGCCCUCCCUCAAAUAGGGGUUCUUGCAGAGUAGGUUACAAAAAGCCUAUGGGCUCAAUAAGUGCUAUGACUUUAACUCUGCCUUUUCACACCUCGUCCUUGGUAUUACUUGCUGACACUUCUUCGCGCUUAACCUCCCGGAUCCAAGUGGUAGCCAGAGCCUCUGCAUCCUUCCAGCCUGUGUCCUCCUGGGACUGCAUCAGUCAAAAUAACUGCUGCGAUGUCCUGGGCCUGAAAAACCCAGCGGAAGAGGGAAGGAGAGAGAGGCCAUGUCUGACAGAGCAGCUGACGGAGACCCGGGGAAGGAGUGUUGUGUCUAAACGCCACCCUGAGUUUCAAUGAGGGCAACACAGCCCUGACCCCAUGGAGCUGCUUCUUGGGAUUCGGCACAAAAGUGGCAUCUGCAACUGGUUCUGCCCAUAACUGGAGGAACAGAGGGAAAAUCUUUUACUCAUCUUUACAAAGCCCCAAAAGAUAAGUUCUGCUAUGUAACGUCCAGGAUUGAGAAGCUUUCUACUGCCAGUAAGGUUGGAGAUGCUUACGCAACAUGUCUGGUGCACAGUGUCAUAGCAGCCCUGGGGCUCAUUAUGUGCCCACAUGGGAGUCUGUGUACAGUACAGAUCUGGUGACUCCAUAGGAAAUGCUUUCUUGAUGUCACACUAAUUCCCUGACCUUCCUCUCCACCCUCCGCUACUAUAUACAGUUGCUGGCUAUUUAUAUAUGAUGAAUAUGAUUCAGAAUUACACAUGCCAGAAAGACACUGAAUCUUUCAACCUAAUAAUUAAAAAAAGGGAUAUAGCAUGAUUGCUUUGUUCCAUCACCACAUGAAAGAGAACUAUUUAUUUUUGUUGUGGUUAGCUUAGUAGUAACAAACAAAAUAUUUUAUUCCUAUCCAUGAGAAGCAAUCUUGCCCAUCUUUAUGGGCUUCAUCCAAAGUGUGCUGGAGUCAGUAGCAGUAUGCAUGGGCUUGGAAUUAGCAUGUGACUGCAGAUCUAGAGAGCUGGAUCAGAGCAAGAGUGCUGCCAGACUACAGGGCUGAGCAUUGUACAAGACUUUGACACCCUGAGAGGGAAUAAUGCCUAUCUUUAAGUGGGGUCCGUGCAAUGUCUUCAAGUCUUAGAAGGCAAACCCUCUGGUAUUGCAGCUGAAGCACUCUGUCAGGAGGCUGUUGCUGUGGCUGGACGUGUGGAGCAAGGAACAUUGUGAGAUUUUUGUGGUGUCAUUAGAUUACUGCUCAUGUGAAAUUGAGUGAUGGAUAGUUUACAUAGUCAGCCUUUUAGCAAAGUUCACCGGCAUGGCUCCAACUGUAUGUAUCGAGGCUAAUCUCAAUUACAACUUGAAAAUGCCUCUGUCUUUGUCACUGCACGGAUGGUCUGGAAAGUAUCGACUGAUUGCUACAGCUGAAAGCUUGUCAUGUCGAUCUUUAUCCCACCAAAGAUCACAGUGCACUCAGUGUACCAUGCAACUGUUCCACCCUGAUGGCUCUUUCAUUUUUUCCUGUUUUUGCUGUUUGUCUAGGCCUUUCAUAUGAUAGUAAUCAAGGAAAAAAUGUAUUAAAAAACAAAUAUGAGGCUUGGAUUGUUUUAAACUGAGAUAAUAAUGAGGGAAUUUGGGAACAGUUGUACUGGCAUUCCUUUAAAAUCUUCCCACCUUCAACUUGGCUGGAAUUCAGGUAGAUGAUGAUAGUAGAAAUCAAUACACAGAGGAAAAGUUUGUCAGAUCCAAUCAAGGAAGAUUUCAAAGAAAUGGCCAAGGAUUCUCAAUGCAAGGAAGAAGAAGAAACCAGCAAGGCCACUGAGGUGGGGAGAGGGCCAGUGGAGACAUGUAAUGAACGUCGAUAACUGCAUUUAGUUUCUUUGGCAAGUGUAAGAAAAUGACAUCAAUGGAUCAGAAUGGUUCCAUUUUUUUCCUCUGCCUUCCAAAAUGUGUACGUCCCAGAGAAGGGGUUUUAAUUUUGAAAGAGCCAGCCCAGUGGCUCCUGUGGCAGUAUAUAUUUACUUGGGACCUUCAGCUCAGGACAUCACAGCUGGAAGCACAGAAAUUCAGGUAAUCAUUUGUGAGAAAUGUGUACUUGUAAGAGGAAGUUGUUUAUCUUCCUGCCCAGAGUGCUGGGUGAUACACUCAUUACAAUAACACAGUCCAAUCUAGCUAUAAACCACGUUGGACAUUAAUUCUCUCACCAGAUUUAGAGAUCUAACUGCCAUUUUAAGUGACUUGAGUGCACCAUUUAGCUCCUCAAAGCCUUUGCUCAGCUUCCGCAGAGCCUCAGCUAGCCAGGUUCCUUUAGCUGAGCAUUCAGCGGUUGUGUAUGCAAAUCAUGACUAACGGGUGAGAUUAAAGAUCUGAUUGUCAUUAAGAAAUGAA